rnacentral:rRNA from 1 species
UACGGAGGGUGCGAGCGUUGUCCGGAAUCAUUGGGCGUAAAGCGCGCGUAGGCGGACCUGCAAGUCGGGGGUGAAAGCCCGAGGCUCAACCUCGGAACUGCCUUCGAUACUGCGGGUCUCGAGUCCGGGAGAGGUGAGUGGAAUUCCUAGUGUAGAGGUGAAAUUCGUAGAUAUUAGGAAGAACACCAGUGGCGAAGGCGGCUCACUGGCCCGGUACUGACGCUGAGGCGCGAAAGCGUGGGGAGCAAACAGG